GACGAACGCUGGCGGCGUGCCUAAUACAUGCAAGUCGAGCGAACGGACGAGAAGUUUGCGUCUCUGAUGUUAGCGGCGGACGGGUGAGUAACAUGUGUAUAACCUACCUAUAAGACUGGGAUAAUCACGGGAAACCGGAUCUAAUACCGGAUAAUAUUUUGAACCGCAUGGGUCAAAAGUGAAAGUCGGUCUUUCUGUCACUUAUAGAUGCAUCCGGGCUGCAUUAGAUAGUUGGUAAGGUAACGGCUUACCAAGGCUAGGAUGCAUAGACGACCUGACAGGGUGAUCGGCCACCCUGGAAGUGAGACACGGUCCAGACUCCUGAGGGAGGACACAGUCGGGAAUCUUACGCAAUGGGGGAGAGCCUGACGGAGCAAAGCGGAGUGAGUGAUGAAGGUCUUCGGAUCGUAAAGCUCUGUUAUUCGUGAAGAACAUAUGUGUAAGUAACUGUGCACAUCUUGACGGUACCUGGUCAGAAAGCCCCGGCUAACUACGUG
rnacentral:rRNA from 1 species